GGAUUGUGGCUCAGCGGUAGAGCAUUCACCUAGCAUGGGCGGGACCCGGGUUGGAUCCUCAGCUCCA
rnacentral:tRNA from 1 species